AACACUAUACUUUCAGGGACCAUUCCUAUAGUUCAUUACUAGAGAAGUUUCUCUGACUGUGUAGAGCACCCGAGACCAUGAGGACGAGACGUAGAGCUCCCUCCUGAGCGUGAAGCUGGUCUAAGUGUGGCUUUCCUGCAGCUGCCUCCUGCCAUUCAUUGAUGAUCGUUCUUCUUUCCCUUUGGGAGAGUGGGAGGGAGGGGACACAGAAAAAA
ensembl:snoRNA U3 Small nucleolar RNA U3